rnacentral:misc_RNA from 1 species
CACAUUUGUGAAUCACACGUGAAGGCGGUCAGGAGACGCCCCCGGCAGGGAAAAGGAAGCGACGUUACAGAACGGGGUGUGACGCCAGCGCACACCCACCCACCCACCCCCGCUUCCCACGGUCGAUCUGUUCGCUUAGGAGAGCGAAGCGGAACACGAAAGAAAGGCGGUCUUUCUGCGAAGAUGUUUGUCGACGAUGCCGCCGGCACGCACUUCGACUUCGAAGACACGCUGCCCAAGGAGCAGCCCCGCACGGAGAAGAAGCUCGAAAUCUGUCAGGACUUCCAGCGCGGCCGCUGCCGUCUCGGCGACGCCUGCCCGCAGCGCCACAUCAUCUCCGCCUACCGCACCGUCCAGACAAAGGUGUGCAAGCACUGGCUGCGUGGCGCCUGCGUGAAUGGGGACAACUGCCUUUACCUUCACGAGUACGACAACCGUUAUGUCCCGCAGUGCGCCUUCUUUGAGCGUGUGGGGGAGUGCACCAACCCUGAGUGCCCUUUCCUGCACACGAAGCCGAACGAGUCACAGCCGGAGUGCGCCGCGUACCGCCGCGGCUUCUGCCCGCUGGGGCCCAAGUGCCGCCUCCGACAUGUGAAGCGGGAGUCGGCGUGCCCAUACUACCUUGCCGGCUUCUGCCCGCUAGGCCCACGCUGUCCGCUAGGGCACCCCAUCCAAGAGCGCUACGACCGCGAUGCCGUGUCGAAGCGCAUCCUGGCCAAGAUGAUUGUGGAGCGCGCCGAUGACCCAACCUUCAACCGCAGCGCAACAUGCUACCGGGCCGGCUGCUUUGACCCCGGCCAUCUCGCCCCGGACUGUCCAGGUCCGCAGCACAGCGUUUUGCACAAAGCCCUAGGCGAAAUUCAAGAGCCGGGGCAACCCACUGGCGGCUUGGAGAGCGGCGGGCACGGCGGUGGUGGCGGCGGCUCCCAUCGCCGCUGCUUCUUGUGUGAUCAGGAGGGCCACACGGUAAAAGACUGUCCAAUGAAUACGCACCGUAAUCAGCACCGCGCCGGGGGCGGUGGCGGGCCUGGCGCCCCACACGGCAGUGGCGGCGGAGCUGGAAUGGGUAGCCGACGGCGAUUGCGGCGAGAGGGCGGUGCCGGCGGUGGCGGCGGCGGUAGUGCUGGUGCUGGUGCUGGUGCUGGUGGUGGUUUCGGUGGCGGAGGCGGUCGGCGACGCCCCGGUCGCGAUCACUAUUAGCCCACCCCCACCCCUUGGGCAAACGGCGGAGAGAGAGAAAGCAGGCAAGGGGGAAAGGAAGCCUUCUCCGUCUUUGGGGUGGAAAGUCGCUGCAGUUGCUGUUGCUGUGGAGCCGGCCCAAGGCCCACCUGUCUGUCGCCCUCCUCCCUCCUCGAGACAAUCUUGACGUUCAUCUCUUGUGGCUGCGGAUGCCUCUCCCCGCAUGGAACCAGAGCGAGCGAGCGAGUGGACUUCACGGAUUGCAAUGACUGCACGUCGCUGGCCAAAGAGAGACGGAGACGAGGCAUGCGUGUGGGCCUUUUACUUGGCAAACCUCUCCGAGCACACACUACUGCGUUCUACCACCGCAUGGAAUGGCAUGCAGUUGGGAGGGCAAUGGGAACGGGUCUUUUAUCUCCCAAACACAU